rnacentral:rRNA from 1 species
GUGGGGAAUUUUGGACAAUGGGCGCAAGCCUGAUCCAGCAAUGCCGCGUGCAGGAUGAAGGCCUUCGGGUUGUAAACUGCUUUUGUACGGAACGAAAAGCCCUGGGUUAAUACCCUGGGGUCAUGACGGUACCGUAAGAAUAAGCACCGGCUAACUACGUGCCAGCAGCCGCGGUAAUACGUAGGGUGCGAGCGUUAAUCGGAAUUACUGGGCGUAAAGCGUGCGCAGGCGGUUUUGUAAGACAGAGGUGAAAUCCCCGGGCUCAACCUGGGAACUGCCAUUGUGACUGCAAGGCUAGAGUGCGGCAGAGGGGGAUGGAAUUCCGCGUGUAGCAGUGAAAUGCGUAGAUAUGCGGAGGAACACCGAUGGCGAAGGCAAUCCCCUGGGCCUGCACUGACGCUCAUGCACGAAAGCGUGGGGAGCAAACAGGAUUAGAAACCCCUGUAGUCC